CCGGGGGGCUCCUGGGAGGCGGCGGCCAGCGGAGCCCAAAGCCCGGAGCUGUCCCUUUGGUGCUGGCGGGAAACUGAGGCAGGGGGAGUCUGGGCCUCAUGUUCUCCAAGCCCGGGGGCUUGCCUAGCUCUAGCUGCCCCUGCCCCGCUUAGGCAGGGCCGCGUGUGGCACCGUGCGAGCACGGGACUCGAAGACAACAAAAGAUGAUUUGAUGUUUGCAACUCCAAAUCCCAGAAGAGACAAUACCCUGUUGACAGAAAACUAUCGUAGGAUCCUGGAAAUGUUAUAGAAAUAAUACUAGAAGAGACUGCACAAAACACAGCACGUCAAAUCAACACCAGCUAACCGAUCACCUUUGCUCUGGGAGAAGCCAGUGCUUCUGGGAAGCCUGUUUAGCUCAAGAACAAAGAGGACUCCCAACUCAGUACCAGAAGGGACCUGACACAUGAUGUUUUUGAGAAGGCUCUUGUUAAAAUGUUGGCAGCACAUCACUGAUAGACUGGCAGCCAUGGGAGAUUUUGGGGAUAGAAAGGUACACGGUGUUCCCGGGAUUUUGUCUUUGUUGAGUAUCAAGGACUUACCUCCUUUUAGUUAUGCUGCAAGACAAAGAGGGCAAGAAUUUUAAACAAAGUAAAUGGACAACUGUGUAUGUUAAAUGCCUAUAUAACUGUGUACCUAAAUUGUAUGCACAACUAAUAUAAAUAUCCAAGGAAACUAGGUAACUCUGUUUACAAAAAAUUAAUUAUAAGGAUCUUUGUUCCCAGUUAACUGAUCUAUGCAGUAAUUUUGAGGGCAAAUUAGGCAUACUAAUCAUUAUUAUUACCAUUUAGAUCAGAGCCUAGGAAUUAAGAUUCCUGAGAUCUGUUUUUGGUUUUUCUGUUGCGUUUUUCUGUGACACUGUUGUAUGGAUGGGUGUCAGUUUUGAUCUCAAUCCUGAAACACCUGCUAAGCCAAUAAAACUGUCUGAUAAUGGGGGCACCGAGAAGGCAGCAGAUGUACAGGAUACCUUUUGAAGAGCUGAAACUUGGGGAGAGCCAGAGAAAGGAGCUGCUCAGACUUCAGUCUUGUUAGUGCAUGCCUGUGAAGUGGAGACCAAGUAUUAAUUGGGUGAAAGACAGAUCUGAGAAUGACGCUAAGAUCAAACUAGUAAUAUGCACAAAGGUAACUAGCAGAAAAGAGAUAAAAUACUGGGUCUCCCCUUAUGUUGUCAAAUUCCCCCACGUUUGAAGUGUGUAUUAAACUGACUUAGUCAAAUACUCUUUGGCUAUUUUUAAAUGCAUCUUGGAUUACUUGUAGCUACAGCAUGUUGGCUCUGACCAAGGGACUCCAGGCUAGAAUAAUGGAAUUUAGUGAAAGACAAAGAUGAGACUGAAAGGAAUUGAUCGGCCUGAGUGGCACUUGUAUAGGUGUUAAUAGGUUUCUUUCUGGAUUCUCCAUUUCUUUAGAUACAGACAACAUUUGCAGAAUCAGACAGCAACUAUUUGCAAACAAAGGUAGCUAGAAAGAGAAUAGCAAGUACACAUUUGGGCAUGUAGGAAAGGUGAUCGGCUGGCUAGAAUAUUGACUGGCUUCAGGAAAUCAGGGCUCGGUUCCUGGCUCUGCCAUUCAUUCCUUGUGCUACCCUGGUUUGCUCUUCACCAUCAGUUCCCCACCUGGAAAAAGAAGAGCCUUUUCCCCUAUAUUACAAGAGCAUUGUGAGUAAAACCCCCUAAGUGAUUUUGAGAUGCUCUGAUACUAUUACUAAGAAGGUCAUGUAAGGCUUGUAUAAAAACAAAGUAUUGAAUGGCCACAGCUCAGGUCACUGAGAUGCUCUGAAUAAAGGCAGGGAAUGCUCUGAAUGGCCAGAGUUGCCUGUUGAGAGGUAUACAGAUUCUUGCUACUCACAGAGGGAUGGCAAGCUGGCUGUUAACAAGUCCCAGAGAUUCAUACAGGACUUGCUACCAGCUGACAGUUGAGAAAAUAAUGAAUAUUGAUUAGGGGCAGGAUGCCCUCUGUCAAACAUGGGGAGCUCCCCAAUGGCAGAAGACAAUUCAGGAAAAAGAUGACAGAAGCAGAGCUCUAAUUGGUGUGACAGGGAGUUAAUUCAGAUUUUAGCUCUAUGGUGAAACAGGUGUCUGAGAGACAAUUCAAGUGCAGGCAGACUCAUUAAAGGAAAACUCCAGUGUAAUAGACAAGAUAUCCUAAUUGCUACAUCUAAUUAGGAAGAAGAGUAAAUUGCUAUGAGCAAAACUGUGCAUCUGAUAGAAUAUAAACAGAUAAUUGACAAUCAAACAGAGAGCAGCCAUCCAUCUACAUGGACUAGCGAUGCCGUGUACAAAAAGAAAAAAAACAGAGAAGCUUUUAAAGUUGUAAAGAUCCCCUAAUUUGCUAAAUGUUAUCAUAAAGGGACAAUGUCAACUUAAAUUGGAUUCACACUAAAACAUAUGGUAAAAAAAUACAUUUUAUAAAUUUGAAGACCAAUAGGAAUAUUUUCUUAUUUCUUUAGAAAAUUCCAAUGAAAUCAUCUUUUUAAGAACAAAUAAGCUUGUGUCUUUAAAGCACUGUGACCUGACAAUAAAAAUGACUAUUAAAAAGUGAGUUGGGUGUUCAGCAACCUAACUUAGGUAGCUGAAAACAAAUGCAAGAAGUAUAUUCCUUACAAGUGACCUGGAUGUUUAAAAUUCUUGGGUGCUUAAAAAUAAAAAGUAUUAUGUGUCCUUUCACAGAGAAAUAUGGACAUUAACAAGCUAUGGGAUCUGACUGGAUAUAAAUUGGCAUAAUUCUAUGAAGUUAAUUGGAAGGGUGCUAAUUCACACCACCUCAGGAUCUGGCUAAGGGCUUUUAAACUGACAGUUUCCCUUUAACCAAGAAUGUACAUGGGCUUCUUGGUUUUUAAAAUAGACUUAGCCUCCCAAGAACUUGCAAUAUCCCUGGCCUUUCCCAGGCGUUCAAAUCAGAGCUGUUUUUGGAGUCCUGUUUUGCAUUAUCAAGCUGGACCUGUUUCUGAGGAGCAUCCAUAUAAGGGCAGCUUCUACUGAGACAGUGAGGGAUCGUUUUUAAUAUUAGAGAUACUGAAACAGGAGCAGAUACUUCUAAAAUAAUUUUAUAAAUAGAUAUUAGUAAAUAUUUGCCUGACUCGCAUGCUACAGCUGGCUGGCUGGCUUCUCUUUUGAUGCUUCACACCGAUGUCUGCCCUCAAAGUCCAUCUGCACAAAGAUCACUGAAGGGAGAAUAUUUCCAGUUGCCUUUCUUGCCCCAGUAGGACUGUUUCUGUCACUUUGUCAUGUUGAAUAGUACCAAACUUUGUAAAUGUUCCUCCUGAAAUAAGUGGGGGCUCUUGCGAAGUAUUGGAGUAGUGUAGUGUGCUGCCCAGCACAGGGAGGGAAGGGAUCAAAGCCUGACUUCAUGUUAUUUGUCAUGGGACAUGCCUGCAGAAUACGUUCCUCACAAUUGUGCAGUCAAAUCACUUGGAGUGUCGACGUUUGACCAGCUUCUGGGUAUAAGUAAAGCCAAGGAACGUGUCCACUAAACAAACCGAGAGUGAGGCGUUUGCAAUGAAGUGCAGUGCUCAUAAAUACAUGGGUGACAGCUACAGCCCUGGCUUUGUCAGUAAAGGCACAGGUGAAAGCUCCUGAGUCGGAAGCAUAUGCCAGGCUUUAAGCCCCGGUUCCUGUGCUUUACCUUCUACAUCCAUCUCUGAUCCUACAUGACAAUGACAAUGCUAAAGUGGCAAAAAAUAUUUUUUUCCUAAGCAUGCACAGCAGGGAUACUAUGGGCUAGAUUCUUUGCUGGUGCAUUUGGCAUAGCUCCCCUAAAGAUAUGCAGUUGUACUGACCUCUACUAGCUGAAAUCCUGGUCUCCCCUGUGAAGUGGUUGAGGUUUACUUGAUUAAUUCACUUUCACAGAUCAUUCCCCAUAGUGUUCCUUUAAACUCUGGCCAAAUGCAGACCAGGUACAAAUGAUGCAGCUGCUUUGCCUGAAGUAAAAUUGCAUCUCCAGAAACCAAUGACUUUGGCCAAUGAUACUUGAUGCUGUUAAAAGGUCCUAGAGAUCAAAGCCAGACAUCUGAAAAAACUGGCUUGACAGGCCUGGAGAUCGAAGGCCCCUAUUCAUUCCCACCACAGCAGCAGUACAAGUGUCCCUGCCUGUUCUCCAAAGGGAACUAUCCUGGGGAGAAAGCGAUCUCAGUCUUUCUGUUUAAAUGGCCACCUAUUGCCAUUUAUAAAGAUAUAUUUUGUGAUAUGUGUAUACAGAGCACCAACAGAGGAUGAUGUCUGAGCCAGACUGACUUGUACUGGUGGUCCAUAAGCCAUUAUCAAUUUCUUGGACCCAGCCAGUCUCUCCGAUGAAACAUUUUCUAAUGGGUAGAGUCAAGAUCUAGAUUUCUGGGGCUGACCCUUUCUUGCAAGCUUUAUUUCCUCAUAAAACAAUCAUGUUAGCAGCCUUGUGACAACAGGGUAUAGCGUGAAUUACAGCCCUAACUAGCUCUUCAUGAGUUUUGUCAUUCAGUGAGUGAAUUAACCAACCAUUUCAAUCCACCAGGGCUGCUUAAGUGACUGAAGCAAUGUUUCUGGCUUCUUUAUCUUGAACUGAGAGAUCUGUGAAUGCACCACACACAACCACAAGUCACUCCAGCUGUAUAAAAAUGCUGUUAGGUUCUGUGUGCUAUGACCCCUCUUUGAGAUGGCUAGUUCCAGCUCUAUUACAUACAUCUCUUGCCUCCCUCAGUUUAUUACUGGAUUUAGAAUUUUAUUUUAAGAAGGGAAAAGGUGAAGGAGUCCAGAAUUGCAUUAAGGGAUUUUAUAGUGUUAUAGCUAAAAGGUAAUUUGUGAAUUUAUUGGAUUUCAGUGGUUUAGUUGUACACAUGUUUUAUUUCUAAAUUAGAUGAGGUUAGCUAGUACUCCUCUGUGAGUACUUUAGUCAUUCUUAAAAGCAUUGAUUCACUUCAAGUCAGAAAAGGUUGUACAUUAUGGCUGAUCUGUUAGGCUGAGAUUAGAUUGAAAUCUAUAGAUCUCCUGUGUCUUGGCUUGUUAGUGAUUGGUAAUGGUAUUUGAUUAAUCACUACUGAUGUAUUUGGCCCCCUUCUUUGACUGUUGAGGGCUUGUUAGUAUGCUUGUUAGUGCUGUGAAUUUAAUUGGGCUUUAUCAGAAUAUCUCAAUUAGCCAAAGGUGUUAAUAUAGCCUACACACAGCCCAAAUUGCCAUUAUAUUUUCUAAACUACAUCUGUUUAUUUACUUGUGGCAAUGUGUUGCAGUGUGAACAUGAAGGGAAUAUCCUGGUUUACACAAUGUCUCAAGUUUUACUUACUUUAAAUUUUAAGUAAAAAUGUAAAAUUUUUAAAAAUGUUAUCCCAUAUGGUAAGCACUUUGUGUUAAAUUUAGGAAAAUAUAAUGUUGUAAAAGUGGCUGCUUGUAUUUUAUCCUGUAAAUAGUCCUGUACACUCACCUUUUUUAACGUAUUUUCUGAUACAAUAGCUAGGUAAAUGUGUACAGAAAAGAAACUUUUUUGCUUUACUGUUCUGCUGUUUGUGGCAUUCUUUCCCACGCCCUACCACAGUCCUAGAAGCAGUUUCCUUGGUCUAUAGCAAGAGGACAAUGCUAUGUAUAGGAGAGAUGAUUGAUUGAAGUUUGUAGAAAGCUACAUAGAUGUGAUAAGGAUGGUUGAGUUACAUGAAUGGCAAUAUCUAGCACCUACACAAACAACAAACUAAUCUUCACUGUCCUUCAAAUUUUGGUACUGGAGAAAGUCAGGAACAAAGGAUUAAUGAAGGGUAGGAAAACCCCCCCACAAAUUUUGAAUCCCUAUUUCCUGUCAUAAGAAUUA